CGAUACCCUUUCCUUUUUGUGGUCGAAGAGGAAGCACGACCAGGCACCAAGGAUGAAGGCCCGUCCGAAGAUGUAACAAUGACCUCAGAAGUCUGACACCUCAUCACGGCAGGCUGCUGAUCAAUCAUAGUAGCAGGGAUCUCCUUUGAUGGGGCAAAAGCAACGGUCGACUCUGUCUCUACAGGCAGAAUGACAUUAACUCCCGCAUUAGACCUCGUUAAGGGAAUGUCUUCCUUUAAAUGUAUCACGACAGGAGGAACCAUUUAAGACUCAACUCACC
rnacentral:lncRNA from 1 species